CCUACGGGUGGCAGCAGUGAGGAAUAUUGGUCAAUGGGCGGAAGCCUGAACCAGCCAAGUAGCGUGCAGGAUGACGGCCCUACGGGUUGUAAACUGCUUUUAUAUGGGAAUAAAAUGUUCCACGUGUGGGAUUUUGUAUGUACCAUAUGAAUAAGGAUCGGCUAACUCCGUGCCAGCAGCCGCGGUAAUACGGAGGAUCCGAGCGUUAUCCGGAUUUAUUGGGUGUAAAGGGAGCGUAGGUGGAUUGUUAAGUCAGUUGUGAAAGUUUGCGGCUCAACCGUAAAAUUGCAGUUGAAACUGGCAGUCUUGAGUACAGUAGAGGUGGGCGGAAUUCGUGGUGUAGCGGUGAAAUGCUUAGAUAUCACGAAGAACUCCGAUUGCGAAGGCAGCUCACUGGACUGCAACUGACACUGAGGCUCGAAAGUGUGGGUAUCAAACAGGAUUAGAUACCCGAGUAGUC
rnacentral:rRNA from 1 species